GAUUCAAUUUAUUUUUUAGUUUUAAUAAUAAUCUUAAUAAUUACCAUAGCGUAUCAAUUGACUAUUUCAACGAUUAAAAAUAAUCAUAUUUUCUUUUUUCCUUUUUUUUUUUUUUUUUUUUUUUUAAAUACAUAUGACCACAACGUACGAGUGAGUUUCCUCAAUUUAGAUAGCAAUCAAUGAAUCAUUAAUCAUGGAAACUAAAAAAAGCAAAUGAAAAAGCAGAGGAACUAUUGCGAUUAGACGCUAGUUUCGCUGUUAAUUAGUAUAUAUGUAGUAUCUUCUUCUCUCGUGAUUAAUAGAUAGAUCCUACAACGUCAUAUUUACCGAGUCGAAUCGAGUCGAAAUCACGACUAGAGACCAUGGUACAUCUUCGGUGCAAAUUUUCCGAAGCAUUCGCGUGGACUAUAGCGCGAGCUAAUUUAAAAUCGUCGAGGAAUGAAAUCGGCCGACCGAGUUUGGACGCAUUCGCUCGUUUCUUGUUAAGAUACUAAAAGUAUCAAAGCUUCGCUUAAUUUUACAUGAUGAUCGAUACAAUACUAACUCGGUAAUAUCGAAAUUGUCCCACAAAUUUCACAACGAGUUUCACGAUAUUGUCUUUACGACAAUAUUUUUCAAUAAUUUCUAAUGUCGAAUAUAAACCAAAGGAAAACUUCAUACGUACAACAAACUACAUGUCUAUUUAAAACAUAUGUUUAAUAUGUUAAAAUAUAUGAAGAAAAAAAAAAAAAGAAAAAAUAUCAGUUCAAUAUACUUUGGAAUAAUGGCUCGCCGAACGAUAAGUUAAAUGUAGGUAUUACGCGAACCGAUGGGCGCUUAUGCCAAAUUAUUUAUUUCGGUCUUGCUUUUGCUCAUCACAGCGUAGUUUAAAUCCAGACCUCGUGACAUCUAUGCAUGCAAAGACUAGUUAAUGGCAAGAGAAAAAGAGGGGCAGGGGGAGAGAGAGAGAGAGAGAGAGAGAGAGAAAUAGAACUUACAUAAACAGUUAUCGAUACAAAGAUCGCUAGUUAACAAUGUACCUGUACUCUUUUAUUUUUUUUUUUUACCGAUAUUACGGAAAAUAAUUAUUCUCAACGAUCUUAUUUUAAUUGUAAAACGUUUGAUAAAAGUCGAAGAAUAUUUAUAAUACUUUACGGAAUUUUCAGAAAUAAAACUAAGGCGAUGAUCCAAGUAUAAAGAUAAAAGUUACUUCGCGACACACUCGAAUGUUUAAGGACGAAUUAAGAUUCAACAGUAUUAAGAUAUUUUAGCGCAUUAGAGGCGUACGCGGCCGUGUUUUAAUUGAGCAAAUUCCACGUGAGUUAAGCCUGAAAUGACAUAGAGCACGAGAAACUGCAUAAUUUGUUCAAUUUGUUCUCUUCGACAGAAAGUUUUUGUCGAUUUUCGACUCAACUCAAGAGAUCGAUAUUCGUAUACUGACGAAAGUCUAAGGGAACUAAUUCUGGAGAAGAAGCAGGAUGGGAAAGCAAGGCAAACUUUAAAUCAGCGAUUUUUCCCACAAUCAUAAGGCUUGUACGGGAAUGUAUACUGUCCUGAUCUUGAUGAAAACAAAGAACAAAGAAAAAAAAUAUCAACUCUCUCUAAAUUACAUUCAUUAAUGUCUAGAUAUUAUAUAUAUAUAUAUAUAUAUAUCAUUUGUUCUUCAUCGAAUAAAAUUUCGAUUAAGAAAAAUUAAAAAAUCGCAUGAUUGAGGCUAAUUAAGAUAACCCCAUGCGAAAUAAAAGAUAUACCUAUCUUUACAUGUAAAAAAAUAUGAAUAUUAUCGUCAAUUGGAUUCUGAAUUUUUCAUGAAUAGUUAUUAUCUACUAUGUAUUGUAACUUUAACGAUAGGCACACGCAUAUGCAGAUUUUCACGCAACUAUAUGUGCCAUAUUUACCAAGUAUUAUAAAUAUAUUACUAUUGUACUCUUGAUAUCACGAGCAACAAUAAAAAACCUUUUAGUGCCUGCGCUUUCUGUCGUACAUAGGCAUACUUUUUAACGAUACAAAUUACGUUUGAAUAGCUUAUGUCGCUCACAAAAUAUCAUUACGUAAUAAACGUUUCGAUUA